rnacentral:lncRNA from 1 species
UGACAUACCUGGUGAUCAGUAACUAGCUGAGCAUGCUCUCUUCUCAUGACAGGCACCUUCGCACGAUGGUGUUUUAUGAUGAUACCCGGUGGACCUGUAACUGUAACUAGUCCAAAUUUGGUAUGAUUGGCUGCCUUAAAGGUAAAAAUUGUUUAGGAAAUCCUAUAUAGUCUUAUGUAUGGCCUCUUGCAUCAUUGUGACACAUACAAGAUAGUUAUUAAACGGUGAAUAUCAAGGUUUAGUACACAAACAUCUGUAUAAAAAGAAAGAAGCCAUAACCAGCGAAAAUAGGAAUAUAUGCCUACACACAUGCCUACUAUUGAACCACCGUUCAAACUGGUUGUAAGUAACCCGUGCGAUCAUCUCUCAUCGGUUGCACCCAGUAGCCAUAAGCUCAUGUACCUCCAAAUGUCGUAAGGACCAUGUAUGGAUCCAUGUUGUAGACUUGAAAUGACUUGCAAAAUGGUUUGUAUUUCCACUCUGUAAAAACACAGUCAUUUCGGCAAUUUCAUAAAGCUCGAAGUGAAGCACAUACUCCGUCCUGGAUAUUUGGCUUAACUCCCAACCAGUUUCCAAAGAAAUUUGCUAUACUAGUAGGUGGAAGCAGGUUAAAAGUCACAUGAAUUGUACGCCAUAGGAAAGUGUGAAACAGACAGGAAAUAAACAAAUGAUGAAUUGUUUCAUCUUGACCAUAGAAACAACAUCGUCUAUUCCCUUGCCAUCUUCGUUUUCCCAAAUUAUUCUUUGUGAGAGUAACCCCUCUAUGCACAAACUACAUAAAAAAGUAUUAACCUCUAUGCACAAACCACAUAAAAAAAAUUUAUCUUAAGUGACACUUGUUUUCCAUAUAACAAAAUACAGGCCCCUGUGUUAAUAUGGUCUGUGUACAUAGAUGUAAGUAUUGAAAAGAAUGCUAACAAAUUCAAACUGGAAGAAUGCCAAUUCGGCAUCAACCGCUGUGAUGACACAGAAGAUCAACUUCUAUUGCUUGAAGAAAUAGAGCGCAAGUAAAGUAACAAUUCGAGAAAACUCGAGGCCAAGUAACCACCCCCUCCUCUGAUGAAGAAAGCGACCACAAGGGGUGAAGACCAAAAGCAGAUCGUUCAAGGUACUAAUGAACCAUAGUCACUGAAUUAUCCUCUUUAUUCGCACAUGUAUGUCAUCUAGCUACGCAAUGUAUUCUCAUAAUCUGGUGUCCACUCUGUUGUAUUUCUCUGUUCAUACACACAUGUAUGCACCUAGCUGUGUAAUCUACUCAACGGUUCAAAUGAUCUAUUGCACCAUUGUCACACAAGCAUACAAUCUUCCCAUAAGCAUAUACCUGCUCGGCUGCUCACCGGAAAUUUGCACAAAAAGUUAUCUAUCAAAACACAAUAGACUAUUGGUAGUAGACAUGAGCAACAACAGAUUAAGUUACACACCAAGCAACGACGGGCUUAACUGCGGGCACGGCAUGGUGCCGCGCUUCUCCCAUGCUACUAUUUUAGUAAAUGGAAUAGGUUUUCCAAGAACACAUGACCACUACACAAAACCUGCAAUAUAACAUCGAAUAAUCCUCAAUAAACAAUUUACACAAAAAAUGGGACCUUCGACAACGCACAUGAACUGGUUGGGCGUGUCUUCAUACUCCUGGACGAGUGGCUCGAUGUCCAUGCACCAAAGGGGACUGCCGCGGCUGUGCAAAAGGAUGCCCAAUGGGUGCCACCUGAGGAGAGUUGGACUAAAAUAAAUGUCGAUGGAUCGCUGAAGAAAGAUGGGUCGAGAGGUGGGGUUGGAGUGGUUCCGGCGUUCCGCGAGACCAUAGAAACACAUGCAAGGCUGCUGCAUGUCAUGCUUUUAACAACAUCUAUUGUUCCGAGCAUGUGAAGCUACUAGGUUGCUGAAGGGGAGUGCAAAUGGCGGCUGACUUGGCAUUACAAGGGCUGCGAUUGAAACAGAUAACCAAGGAGUCACUCGUGCUCUCUUCUCGGAACAACUUGACCGGUCCAGGUUUGGACCUGUCAUCCAUGAGAUAAAGGAGAUGAUGGUUGGCGUCGGCGAGUUUCGAGUGAUCUGGAACACGACGAGAAGCCAACAAAGUUGCUCAUAUACUAGCUAGGAAGUGUUGCCUUUUAAGUUUAAUUCAUGCAAGACCUGGUUUAAUAUUUUUCCUUCUUGUACCUGUGAUGCUAUUGUGGCUGAUGGAGCCAUAGACUAAGUAAUAAUAAGGCAGGUAUUUCCCCUAAAAAACAAUUUACUCAAACAUGAAAUGGUCCUACGCAAAAUGCAUUAGUGCGUUAUAAGUGCAUUUUAAAUCACAUUCCCUUUAACGGUGACAUGCACAAAUUUUUCGUGCGAAGAUUUUGGUUUGCUUACACAGAAAUCCCUCACAUAGCUAAAAAUCGUAAGAACUAAAUAAUAUUCCACGUAAUAUCUAGAAACUAUAUACGUCCAAUUUCAUGGCAACGUGCGGGGCAUCAUCCGGUUCGUUUGGUGGCUUCUCCUGGAAGACCCUCCCUCUCUAGCUUCUCCCGUAAGCUGGCUUCCACCUUCCUUUUGCCAAUACUCCUAUAUAAAAACCAGGCAUUCAAUUCCACACAUUCACUAGUAAUAUGCUAGUGAGAUUUUACAAUCAAUAGCGAAAUUACGUGCAAUCAAUUCCACACAUUUAAGCGAUCAAAAUAAUUAAGGCACUAACUCCUGGUUCCAGAUUAGCAGCAAUCUGGAUAUGAUCAGAUUGAUUUGGACAUUAGAAAUACAGAUGUCUCUGGUUGUUUGGAUGCUAUAGACUUGCAUAUGAAGAUGCAAAUACAAAUACCUGAAUAUUCUUUGUCUUUAGUCUCUGCAUGUCGUAAUUAAUCUAUUUAACUUUCAAGGUUGUGGUAAUUAUGUUUUGAAAUCUUGUAGUUAAAGAAGGAAGUUGGAGAAAUGUUAGGGUUUGCGGAGUCGUAUAUGCUAAAAGUUAGCUCCCCUAACCAAGAAGACGAUGGUACUGCCCAACAAGGCCGCACGGCGCCAGACGCAGAUGACAUACCUGGUGAUCAAUAACUAGCUGAGUAUGCUCUCUUCUCAUGACAGGCACUGUCGCACGAUGGUGCUUUAUGAUGAUACCCGGUGGACCUGUAACUGUAACUAGUCCAAAUUUGAUAUGAUUGGCUGCCUUAAGGUAAAAAUUGUUUAGGAAAUCCUAUAUAGUCUUAUGUAUGGCCUCUUGCAUCAUUGUGACACAUACAAGCAUAGUUAUUAAGCGAUGAAUAUCAAGGUUUAGUACA